rnacentral:lncRNA from 1 species
CUAAGCAGCUGCGCCGCAAGCCCCCUUCUCCCUCUCCUCUCCCAUCUCACCCAUAGUGCCCACAACCCUAGAUAGCUGCGGCACUGCCCCCUACUGGUGCCGACGAGCGGAACCCGCGACAAGACGCCGGAGUCGACAACCAGAACCAUCACUGAAGAGAGCCCCGCACGUGUCAACCUCCGCAUAACAACACUGGCAGCCUCGACCCAGCAUCCAUCUAGUACGAGACACUGGCAACGACAACCCGAGUCACCACGCAAGGAAGACGACGAAGCCAUCAGCUGCGACUCCGCUCCAUUGAAGACAACGUUACCCACACCGCGAACCAUCCCCAGUGGUCUGUCACUGCGCAGCACACCAACACGUCAGCACAGCCGCACCCAGCACUGCCUCCAAGACGCGUUGUGCAGGUUCUUCCUCCUCCAUUGUCGUGAAUUCUAACGACCGUGUCUUUUUUGGAGGUGUUUUUUUGGAUGUGUUUAUCUAUGAAUGUGUCUUCUAACGGAGGUGUCUUUUGUGGUUAUGGAUAUGUUUUUUUUUGUAUUGGAUGUAUCUGCUAAUGAAGGUGUCUUUGGUGAUACAGGCGGCUGGUAUGGUGGCGAGACGAUGACGCGACGAUACAGGUGGCUAUGCGCGUAGGAUGAGUUUCUCUUUCACGGGAAUAGUGGUGUCACAAAAUGGGAUCGGGGGAGAGGGGGCGGUCAGCGUCGAACGACAAUUGCAGCAUCCCGAUGACGAAAAAAGUUCCUGGACAGAGAGAUUACCGGAGAAGGGUGAGAGGCUUAAGGUUGCGUGACACCUUCACAAGCUUCACGUAACAACAUUUCUGGGGCGGUUACAAAUCUUAAUAUUUCAAAAUUAUAAUUAAGGCAAUUCAAUACAUUCCUAAUUGUAUUUAAAAAAUAAUAAUUAAUUAUUGUUGUCAAAAGUUGACAGAUAAUCUCUU